rfam:Medicago truncatula strain A17 chromosome 4, whole genome shotgun sequence.
GAUGGAUCAAAUCCAAUCCAUUAACAAAUUUUUUUGUUUGAUGGAUGAAUUGGAUGGAUUUUGUA